AGGCAUGUAGCUCAGUUGGUAGAGCACCACCUCGACAAGGUGGGGGUCGCUGGUUCGAGCCCAGUCGUGCCUA
rnacentral:tRNA from 1 species